GUCGGCAUAGCUCAACUGGAAAGAGCCCUCAGUUUCGACGUGUAUAUGCACGGCUGUGGUGAUGCGGGUUCGAGUCCCGCUGCCGUCU
rnacentral:tRNA from 1 species